rnacentral:lncRNA from 1 species
UAAGGAACACACCACAUUCACCGACACCCACCUGUGAAGGAUGGAAACCUGUAAGACAUAAGCUGGAUGCAGGCCCCACCCCCCAUCACCACUGGGUUAUCAGAUAUCAUAAAUGCUGAAAAGCUAUUGCUUGUCAUGUUGUAAUCCUUUAAAGAUGAGUGUUUUUGAAAUUAUUUCUCCCUAAUCGAGGUCUAAGUUGUUUUUCUGGCAGUCUAAAAUGAGGGGUUUCUGAAAUUUUAUGUCCAAGUGAAAAUGCUUAUUUUGCUCUCCUUAUUUUGAGGACACUAAGCACGUAACUGUCACUUGGCUAUGUUUGGCAGUGACACGGCUAUUUAAAUGAAUAUUCAGUGGCAAUUUCAGGUUGGCCCACAGUUGCUACAGGUAAGUUACUAAUUUAAAAGCUAAGGGGUUCUUCUGAGAGGAUGUCAUUGCUGCUGCUUUAAGCAGCAGAACACUGCUUCUGCUCUCAGCUCCUGGUUUAUGGAAGUUGAAAUAAACCAGUGAGGAACCAUUCUAGUAACAGCUGCAAAAUCAAAUCCCAAUGUCAGAUCAAGCUGAAACACUCAAAGAGAAACAAACUGCAUUGAGGCUAUACAUUUGACUGUGUAGGUUUCUAUUUGAUUAUGAUGUUUAGGGAUAAGUAUUUACCAAACCACAUAUACUUAUAAAUGUCUGUUCUUACAUGUAUGAAUCUUCUAAAAAUCUGAGGAACAAGCAGCUAACUUAUAUAUUUCAAAGAGAAAAAUGAACUGUUUUGAUAUUUUACAUAAUUUUGACACUCUAGUCAUUACUUUUUAUAGAAUUCUGUCAAUUCACUGAAUACCCAGGAAUACCUUCACCUUGGCACAUUCUAUAUGGAAACUACUGUU